GAAUACCUCAGCGUCUUAUCUGCCGGGAGCCAUCUGUCUCACCCCCAGAGAGGUCUUCACCAACAGAUCAAUAAAGGAAACGCGUCAGCUGGGUGGCCGUGGUUGGGAAGAAGAGGUGAACAAGCUCGGCACGGUCUGUGGAGGUGUCGACCUCGCUCCCCACGGCCUUCUCUGUUUCAGACUUAACAAAAUGUCUUUCUUCUCAUCAUGGAUGAAAGCUAUUUUUGUCAUUGCCUUGCUGUUUCCUCUACAUUCUGAAACUGGUCUUUCACAUCCACUUUCAACGGGGAAUAAGAGAAAAGUCUGGUGGAAAAUUGGAUUUUCUGUUUUUCGGUCAAUGUUCUUAGCUCAGAGCUACACCUUCUUAUGCCUUUUCUUGCAAUGCUAUUUUGCAGUGGAUUCUACAAGCAAUUAGAGUCUUCUCAGUCAGAGCUUUAAAUUUGCAGAUGACCACACAAAGCCUGCUGUGGCAUACAAGAUGAAAUGUAGGAUGUUGAAGAAUUUUUCUAAUCUGUGAUUCAAAGAUUUUUAUCCUCUAUGUUGAAUUAUCAGUGGCAGUUGAAAAACCGUCUUAAUUGUAGUUGAUAAUAUAAAGCCUAUGUAACUUAAAAUCAUAAA
rnacentral:lncRNA from 1 species